rnacentral:rRNA from 1 species
AUGGAGUUCACUAGAAGAUUAACACUGACCAUGGCUACCGGAGGACUAUAUGAACAAGGCUCUCCAGGUCCUGCAUCAUCAACUAACAGCCAACUCCAAACGAUUACUCAGGUUAGCUCUCCUUCUGUAACUAACCCAUUUUACAAUUGCUCUCCUUUCCCAGGAAUUCCAAAGGCCGAGUAUUGUUGCAGGGUAUAUGCGAACAACAAAAUCUAUGCAACAACUCUUUUCAGUACAUCUAUGGUGUCCUCAUUUCGGGAUAGUAAGUCCGACGACAAGAUAUUCUACAUAUUUUCUCCCACAAAGGCACUUAAGUUGAAGACAUAUUCAAAAGAUGACCGUGUCUCUGUGGUCGAGGCCUUGGUCUUGGUCAGGAGUGUUUAUUCACUCAGGUCGCUUAGUGGAAGAAUAACUUUGGUGCAGAGUGACAUUUCUAUUUUGACUGCAAGGAAUCAAAAUCGGAUGCACCAGGAGGCUUUAAACGAGAGUCUUAUACAGGGUUGA